UACGGGGGGAGCAAGCGUUGUUCGGAUUUACUGGGCGUAAAGGGCGCGUAGGCGGCCAGCACAAGUCAGUUGUGAAAUCUCCGAGCUUAACUCGGAAAGGUCAACUGAUACUGUGCGGCUAGAGUGCGGAAGGGGCAACUGGAAUUCUUGGUGUAGCGGUGAAAUGCGUAGAUAUCGAGAGGAACACCUGCGGCGAAGGCGGGUAGCUGGGCCGACACUGACGCUGAUGCGCGAAAGCGUGGGGAGCAAACGGG
rnacentral:rRNA from 1 species